CAGGCAUGAGCCACCGCACCCGGCCCUCCUAUAAAUAUCUUGAUAGUCUGAAUGUCUAAAGGGCAGAAUUUGUGCCUAAAUGAUCCUAUCUCCUAAGUUUGAAGGCCUGACAUACUGCACUAUAUUUUGAAUUGUGAAUAAAUGAAUGUGUGCCUGGUUUUGACAAACAUUUAGAAACCAAAUUAAGAAAAUUUAUAUUUAUCUACUAAAGAUCACUUAUUUUAGAAUAUGAACAAAUGAUUUACAUCCUCUAGCAUCAUUUUAAAUAAACAUUCUAGAAUCAAAUUUUAUUAGAAUUAUUUUUACAUAAUAAAAAAAUACUUGUUUGAUUUCUUAAAAUACCCUGAAGAGGGAAACAGUAAUUCAAGUUUUAGUAGCUUUUCAAAAAGAUUAAACUCUAAAGAGUUUCUGAAUAUUAUUUGGAAGUGCAACUUUAGGUAUUGUGAUUUUCUGCUUUUAUCAAUACUAAAACAUCAAAGAGAAGAAAAAUUCCCUUACCAGUUAAGAAAAUAGGGAGAGGAGGAUAGUUUUCCAUGGCUGCAACACAAAGUUUAUUUAAAACACACACACACACCCCCGUAUGUGCACACACACAUACUCCCUAUGUGGACAUAGACAUAAUUUCUUUGCUGGAAUCUGCCCAAUGUACAAAAUUAACUUCUUUAUGUUAGCCAAAAUACUAUGGGACUUUUAAUAACCAUGAUUCUUUAUGUCUAAUCUAAGAGAUAGGACCUCCAACCAGCUCAAUUCACUGAUAUCCCACUGUGGUUGUGAAUCGCCACUGACUCAGAUGCAUACCCCCCAGUGUAUCCCUCACAACACAUUUUACUUAGCUUUUAAAAACUGACAGAUCAAUUGGGUACAAUUGCACAGGUGGAACAUUUAGGUUUAAGUUUUUUUUUUUCAUGUUCUGUCAUUUUCCCCUGCAUCAUUAGUCUCAUUCUCCCUGCUACUAAAAGAGAAUGAUUUUCCCCCAAAUCUCCUGUUUCAUUUAUUUUAUUCUUACAUUCUUCCCUUCUCUUCUACCUCUUUCUUCAACUUCCCUCUUCUUCCUUCUAAAAUACCAUAUAUCUUCUUUUUCUUUUUCUAUUUGCUUCUCUGCUGUUCUCUACAGUUGUUUGAUGCUAGUAUUGAACUUUUUGCUUCUUUCCCCUAUCAAGGUUCGAUUUAAUCGACUUCGUGAGAGGAUAUACAAGUAAAAUGUGCUUCUAAAUCUUGCUUCCUAUUUUCAGUCUGAAGGGGAAAAACAGCUUCAGUUGUUAAAAGUCUAAUUUCCUUAAAAGCUUGAAUUUUACUCCUUUAAGUUUUGUCCUAAAGCAGAUUCAUUUGACUUGUAAUUGAUAUGUCCCUCUGUUGGUCAGACUUCAGUUCUUCUUAGAGCCCAGAAUAACUUUUCUCUACUUAUUGCUGUUUUGGUUACUGUUUAUGCUUUCUCAUGUCAAAGUCACAAUGCACUGACUUCUACUGACAAUGGGUCUCUCUGUUUUUCUCUUCACAUUUUCCGUGCUGAGUGGUGUUUUCUGAAUAGGGUGAGUCUAUACUUUCUUUUUGUCCUGCAGAAAAAUGGACAUGAGGAAUCCAAUUAUGGUAGUCACAAUGUCUGUGACAGAUAUGUUAGUUACGAGCAAUAUGCAUGAUGUUUCUAGGAUUCUCCAGAGACAAUUGAAUUACUAGCUCUGUCCUGCUGUUGUUAUUGUACAUGUACCACAUCCUUACCACUGUUCUAAAGAGGAUUCGUUAUAGUUAUAGGACUAAAAGUUUGGAUUUUUUUGAAAUUUUAAAACUUUUCAUAUAUAUUAUCACUAUCUAACAUAUACUGAAGACCUACAAUGUGCCAGGCAUUGUUCUAAAUACCUUACACUGUUAUGUCAUUUAAUCUCCACAGACACUCUGUGAAGUUGGUAAAAUUGUCUAUAUUUAUACCUACAGAAAUGGAAGCACAAGGAGAAGUCUGAAGUCACACUCCAUAGGAAUCUUAGUGGUCUAGCACCAAGUCCUCAGGAUUAAUUAUUAUUCCACAGCGACCUGUUUGGAUAAUCAUGGUGACCUUGAUUUGGGGAAUUUAACAUUUAUCGUCAUUGAAUUUUAUGACUGGUGAGAAUUAAGCAGUUUGAUUUUAGGUGUCUUGAUGUUUCCCAGCAAUGACGCCCAGUUUGCUGCUUUACAGAGCAGCACACAUUUUACUUCUCAAGAUAGCAUGGGAACAUUUAGACUUUAUUAAUAGAAAAGUAGUCAUAGUAAUUUUAUUCAUGCAAUAUUGUUACAUUUUAGUUAGGAAAAGUGAAAAUUAGGGAAGUCUAAGGAAAAUUACAUAUAGCUAUUUAGAUAGUCUUACAAUCUCACAAAUAGCAAUGUAAAUAAAAACAAAAGGUGAAAAUAUUGUUUAUGCAGAUAAUCCCAAAAUGUAUUUAACUAGCACUUAUUAUAUGUGUUAUACUAUUACUAUUUGACGAUCACUGUGCAAGGUACAAUGAGGAGAGUGGCAUCAAUUGUAGGGGAACUCCUUUUAGAGGGAGGGCUUUAUGAGUGUCACCAGCGUAUAGGACUGGUCACUCUCAAGACCCUCUCAGAAGUGUGAAUGAUGAUAAAAAUACCCCAAAGAAUCUUUAUGGACUGUCAUUUAAUAGUAAAUUUCAAUGUCUUCUCUAAAAUCCAUUUUUUAUCUCAGUGACUCUGUGAUCAGAAAUAUAAGAAACACAAAUAUGGAUAAGAUAGGAAUGAAAGCAGUCAAGUGAAAAUGGCAAUUGCUCUGGUGGCCAAAUCAAAUAGCACAAUAUAAAAAGGGUCAGAUUCAUUAAGUCCUUCAUUAACCAGCCCAGUGGAGUUCCUCCCAGUUCCCCAUUGUCAACUGCCUAUUCAACGCCAGGGAUAGGCAUUCUGACAACAGGAUCUCAUCAGCAUCCUCCAAAUAUUUGAACUAAUGUUCAUUUUAAAACUUACAUUGUAAUAAAGAGAGAUAUUUAAAUCCCAAAGUUAUUUAGAAUUUAAAAGAUGACUUUCAAAUUUUUCCCUUAAGGUCUCCAUUUCCAUUUGCUGCCAUCCUGAAAAAUCUUAUAAAUGACUGAUCAAUAAGUGAUUCAAACAUCACAAUUAAAAGAACUAGAAAAGCAAGAGCAAACACAUUCAAAAGCUAGCAGAAGGCAAGAAAUAACUAAAAUCAGAGCAGAACUGAAGGAAAUAGAGACACGGAAAACCCUUGAAAAAAUUAAUGAAUCCAGGAGCUCGUUUUUUGAAAGGAUCAACAAAAUUGAUAGACCACUAGCAAGACUAAUAAAGAAAAAAAGAGAGAAGAAUCAAAUAGAUGCAAUAAAAAAUGAUAAAGGGGAAAUCAUCACCGAUCCCACAGAAAUACAAACUACCAUCAGAGAAUACUACAAACACCUCUACGCAAAUAAACUAGAAAAUCUAGAAGAAAUGGAUAAAUUCCUCGACACAUACACUGUCCCAAGACUAAACCAGGAAGCUGAAUCUCUGAAUAAACCAAUAACAGGAUCUGAAAUUGUGGCAAUAAUCAAUAGCUUACCAACCAAAAAGAGUCCAGGACCAGAUGGACUCACAGCCGAAUUCUACCAGAGAUACAAGGAGGAACUGGUACCAUUCCUUCUGAAACUAUUCCAAUCAAUAGAAAAAGAGGGAAUCCUCCCUAACUCAUUUUAUGAGGCCAGCAUCAUUCUGAUACCAAAGCCAGGCAGAGACACAACAAAAAAAGAGAAUUUUAGACCAAUAUCCUUGAUGAACAUUGAUGCAAAAAUCCUCAAUAAAAUACUGGCAAACCAAAUCUAGCAGCACAUCAAAAAGCUUAUCCACCAUGAUCAAGUGGGCUUCAUCCCUGGGAUGCAAGGCUGGUUCAAUAUACGCAAAUCAAUAAAUGUAAUCCAGCAUAUAAACAGAACCAAAGACAAAAACCACCUGAUUAUCUCAAUAGAUACAGAAAAGGCCUUUGACAAAAUUCAACAACCCUUCAUGCUAAAAACUCUCAAUAAAUUAGGUAUUGAUGGGACGUAUCUCAAAAUAAUAAGAGCUAUCUAUGACAAACCCACAGCCAAUAUCAUACUGAAUGGGCAAAAACUGGAAGCAUUCCCUUUGAAAACUGGCACAAUACAGGGAUGCCUUCUCUCACCACUCCUAUUCAACAUAGUGUUGGAGGUUCUGGCCAGGGCAAUUAGGCAGGAGAAGGAAAUAAAUGGUAUUCAGUUAGGAAAAGAGGAAGUCGAAUUGUCCCUGUUUGCAGACGACAUGAUUGUAUAUCUAGAAAACCCCAUUGUCUCAGCCCAAAAUCUCCUUAAGCUGAUAAGCAACUUCAGCAAAGUCUCAGGAUACAAAAUCAAUGUACAAAAAUCACAAGCAUUCUUAUACACCAACAACAGACAAACAGAGAGCCAAAUCAUGAGUGAACUCCCAUUCACAAUUGCUUCAAAGAGAAUAAAAUACCUAGGAAUCCAACUUACAAGGCAUGUGAAGGACCUCUUCAAGGAGAACUACAAACCACUGCUCAAUGAAAUAAAAGAGGAUACAAACACAUGGAAGAACAUUCCAUGCUCAUGGGUAGGAAGAAUCAAUAUCGUGAAAAUGUCCAUACUGCCCAAGGUAAUUUACAGAUUCAAUGCCAUCCCCAUCAAGCUACCAAUGCCUUUCUUCACAGAAUUGGAAAAAACUACUUUAAAGUUCAUAUGGAACCAAAAAAGAGCCCGCAUCGCCAAGUCAAUCCUAAGCCAAAAGAACAAAGCUGGAGGCAUCACACUACCUGACUUCAAACUAUACUACAAGGCUACAGUAACCAAAACAGCAUGGUACUGGUAUCAAAACAGAGAUAUAGAUCAAUGGAACAGAACAGAGCCCUCAGAAAUAAUGCCACAUAUCUACAGCUAUCUGAUCUUUGACAAACCUGAGAAAAACAAGCAAUGGGGAAAGGAUUCCCUAUUUAAUAAAUGGUGCUGGGAAAACUGGCUAGCCAUAUGUAGAAAGCUGAAACUGGAUCCCUUCCUUAUACCUUAUACAAAAAUCAAUUCAAGAUGGAUUAAAGACUUAAACGUUAGACCUAAAACCAUAAAAACCCUAGAAGAAAACCUAGGCAUUACCAUUCAGGUCAUAGGCAUGGGCAAGGACUUCGCAUCUAAAACACCAAAAGCAAUGGCAACAAAAGACAAAAUUGACAAAUGGGAUCUAAUUAAACUAAAGAGCUUCUGUACAGCAAAAGAAACUACCAUCAGAGUGAACAGGCAACCCACAAAAUAGGAGAAAAUUUUCACAACCUACUCAUCUGACAAAGGGCUAAUAUCCAGAAUCUACAAUGAACUCAAACAAAUUUACAAGAAGGGAAAAACAACCCCAUCAAAAAGUGGGUGAAGGACAUGAACAGACACUUCUCAAAAGAAGACAUUUAUGCAGCCAAAAAACACAUGAAAAAAUGCUCAUCAUCACUGGCCAUCAGAGAAAUGCAAAUCAAAACCACAGUGAGAUACCAUCUCACACCAGUUAGAAUGGCAAUCAUUAAAAAGUCAGGAAACAACAGGUGCUGGAGAGGAUGUGGAGAAAUAGGAACACUUUUACACUGUUGGUGGGACUGUAAACUAGUUCAACCAUUGUGGAAGUCAGUGUGGCGAUUCCUCAGGGAUCUAGAACUGGAAAUACCAUUUGACCCAGCCAUCCCAUUACUGGGUAUAUACCCAAAGGACUAUAAAUCAUGCUGCUAUAAAGACACAUGCACGUGUAUGUUUAUUGUGGCAUUAUUCACAAUAGCAAAGACUUGGAACCAACCCAAAUGUCCAACAAUGAUAGACUGGAUUAAGAAAAUGUGGCACAUAUACACCAUGGAAUACUAUGCAGCCAUAAAAAAUGAUGAGUUCAUGUCCUUUGUAGGGACAUGGAUGAAAUUGGAAAUCAUCAUUCUCAGUAAACUAUCGCAAGAACAAAAAACCAAACACCGCAUAUUCUCACUCAUAGGUGGGAAUUGAACAAUGAGAACACAUGGACACAGGAAGGGGAAUAAUACACUCUGGGCUCUGUUGUGGGGUGGGGGGUGGGGGGAGGGAUAGCAUUGGGAGAUAUACCUAAUGCUAGAUGACGAGUUAGUGGGUGCAGUGCACCAGCAUUGCACAUGUAUACAUAUCUAACUAACCUGCACAAUGUGCACAUGUACCCUAAAACUUAAAGUAUAAUAAUAAAAAUAGAAAAAAAAAAGUCUUGAAAGUGAGAAAAAAAAAACAAACAAAAAAGAAGUGAUUCAAAAGGUCACCCAUUCCCAGACAUCCAAAGAGCAGAGCAGGCAAAAAACUACUCUUCUCAAUUAAGUCAAGCUCAGAGUUCCUGGAAAGCUUAUUGACAGCUUACCCAAAUGGUUAUGGCAGUUUUAAAACCUUGGACCAUUUCCAACUUGCCCUUCAGUAAAUGAAUGAAAUUUGGACAAGCAUUAAUUUGCAGUAUUGUCAUUGGCAGGGAGAAUGUUAAUGUAUUUGUCAUUACAGAAGAAUUACAAAUCCCUGAUUAUAGCUCAUCUGUGUCUACUCAGAGAAAGUCAGAUGGAGAAUGGAACAGAUUGGACAUUGAGAGAAGUGGAAUAUUUUCUGUUUUAAUGAAAUAAAACAAAAGUCUGAGUUUGAGCCUUAGUCAUCCAGGAGUCUAUCUUUGUAUUUCAUCUUACCUGUUUCUAUAGCCAGAGAAUUUAAGAUAUAUAGUGUAAUCCAAUGCAAUUUAAUGAAUUGCUGUCCCACCAUAAUAGCUCCAGCAGUUUAUCCAGACUCUUUAUGAAUACAUCCAGUGACAGCAUAUCCCAUCAUGAAAAAGAACUACUCAUUUUUCUGCUUUAUAUGUCUUACAGUUUAACAAUAAAUGAUAGCUUUCCUAUUUUUGAAAAACUUCCAUUCAACUUAGUAGCAACCGUAGACAUACCUCAUAUAUGUGACCAACCUUCACAUAUUUGGAAAUAGUUGUCAGUUAGUCAAUCUCAAUGAUCCACUUCUCUGUGGCUAAAAUCCUCAAUCCUAAUUCAAAUUCUUUAAAGCAUUAUUCAUAAAAUAUUGUUUUUAAAUCCUUCACUACCCUGGUCACCCCCUUGGACAUGAUUUUGUUGUACAAUAGCUUGCAGCAAUGUGGUAUACUGCACAGUGAGAAAGAGAAAAGCAACCUCUCAGCCAGGAGGAGCCCGCACACUCACAGAAAGGCUAUGCUGUUCUUCUGUUGUACAUAAACAAUUUACAGAAUUGUUUAUGUAAAACGACUUUAGACAAGUCCACUCUGUGAUCAUGGUGGAUUAAGCUAAAACCAUUCUAUAAAUAUUACACAGAAGUGACAAAAUAUUCUUUGUUCUAGCUAAUAUGAAUGCCUGCUGGAUUUUUCUUUUUUUUUUUCUUUUUUUAACCAAUUAUAGCUUUAGUCUUACUUCAUUCCUCCAAUCUUCUCAAUAAGAAUUAUUAAAAUACCCAGUCAUGGAACUGACAACUGGGUAAAAGUAAGGUUAAAAAAAUUAUGAGCAAUCAUUUGAUAUAUGACCCGAGAGAUUAAAAUAAAGCAAUAAUACUAUACUAUUACCAUUAUUAUUAUUAUUACAAACAAAAUAAUAAAAUCAGAGCUAGUAUUCAUUCAUUGAGUGCUUGGUCUGGAUGUUGGCAGACCAUGUGACAGACAAUUUACCUACAUUACUCUUUAAUGUACACGAUUUAUAAAAUAAGUAUAGUUAUCUCAUUUUACAGAUUAGAAAAAGUGAGGUUUGUGAAAUGAAGUAGCUAGCUCAAGAUCUCUCUGCUAAAAUUAAAUUUUGAAACCAAGACCUAAAAUCUACAAGCCAAAAUUUUAUUGCCUCAGUUCAAGGCAGUAAGUAGGACUGAUGUACUUGCAGGAGUUGCAUCUAACCAAGGAGAAAUGCCUUUUGAAAUGUGUUUGACCAAAAGAUGUGAUGUCUUUAUUGCACAUUCUCAAAAAGUUGUCUGUGUGCCAACUAUGAAUCCUCUUAAUGCAGGAAGAACCCCUGAUGGUCUUAGCUUAAAGAUACCUUUUUGAAGAAUUUCCAUAAAGUUUAAGCAUUUUAAAAACUUUUCUAUUAACUCUCAGUUCCAAAUAGGUGUGCCAAUUCUUAUAUGCCAAGUAUCAACUAGAAGAUUGUUCUGUAUCAGCCAAGUUGUCAUGAUGUUUCAUCCCUCUCUAAACUCCCACUGUCUCACCAAAAAUUGGAAACAUUGGUACCCAAAUUCUACUGUGUAACUUUUCAAGAUGAUUGUUUGUCCCUAUAAUCCUACUUUGACCAAGAGGAUGAUGCUAUUUUAUAAAAAUAUUUUCCGGUCUACCUUUAGAAAUUCACAUAUUCUUCAUGGCGAUUUAUACUGAUUAAAAAAGGACAAUAAUCCAGUCAUAUUAGUUAGGAAAGGUUAGCAGCAAAUUGCCCACCAAACACACAGAUUUGCCUUCGUGAAAAGUCUCAAAAGUACAAACAUUACAAAAUGACAAAAAUAACUACCAAUGUAUCAAAGACACUGGGUGAAUCUCUAAUGUUAAGAAAAGACUCCAAGUCUUUCUUAGAAAAACAAAAGAAGCAAAAUGUGUUAUUCACCCAUUCCGAAAAAUAUCAACCAACUCUGUCAGUAAUUUCAUGAAAUAGCUAAUAUAGACAAUAUCAAUUUCUGAGAAAGAAAGAAUUUAGUUGUGUAGUUACCAAGACAGUAACAAUUUGUUUUUGGCUCCCACUUUGUGCCAAAUUGUGCCACACUAAAUGCUUUGGGUAUGGAACUCACUCUCUGUAAGUAUUCCUUAAUCUUGUAUGAUGAAAGAUGGCUACAGGCAACUGACUCCCUCCAAAGUCUGAAAACAGUAGUACAAAUUAGCAUAAGGCCAAUGAUCUGUGAGAAAUUAGAAAUAAUGUUAUAGGCAAGUGAGAAAUGAGUUUACUAGAUGCUGAAAAGAGUGCCAAGCUAAGCAUCAUAGAAUAAGAGAUGUUACAUAUAAUUACAUAGCUUUAUAGAUUUUCAUUUUAAUAUAUCUCUCUUCCAUUUAUUGUAUGUUGCAUGAAGACAAAGACCAUGUCAGUCUUGACCAAUAUUGUAUUACAGUUCUUUAAGAGAACAAAUGAGUGAAUGGAAGAAUGGAAAUCUCUUCCAGCCCUGUUACAAUAUACAUCUGUUAUUUUGUGUGUCCAGCAUUCACUCCACAUUUAUCUCAUAGCAGGACUUCUGUUUUCCCAAGGGACUUUCAAGUUUCCUACUCUCAGCCCACUAUUUAAUUAGUCUUGUUAGGUGAUGCUGUGUUAACUCAUUAGUACACUCCAUCUCUCUGGCUACAGAACCUAAGUCUCAGGGAUUUGGGGAAAACUUUUAGGCUGGAAUUUUUGGUUGUAAGAAAACCUGUGCAUUUUAAAGGUUACCAUAUGGUAAAUUCCUUGCUGAGAAUGAAGUUAACAUAGACUAAGAAAAAGCAACCAGAAAUAGUGCACACACACACACACACACACACACACACACACACUCAAAGCAAGAGAAAGAAAAAGAUAGAGAGAGAGCAUUCUGGUGAAUUUGGCUUGUUUUGGCCAUUCUUGUACCUUGGUUUUCUGAGCAAAUAAAUCAUUUUUUAUGCUUGAAUUAUUUUGGGUAGGGUUAAUUUUAGUCGUAAUAAAAAAGAGUUAAUAAUACACUCUUCUCUCUGCAAAUGGAGAAAUGAGUACAGAGGAGAAAAGUGCCUUAUACUUUCGUAGGUGCAAUAUUUUAUAGUGAAAGAAUUAUGACUGGGACCAUGGUUCUUAAACUUCCAAUUCUUUCUACCAUGCUCCAUUGCCUUUAUUAAAUAAUAGAUUUGUUAAAGACAUGGAAGAUUAAGAAAAGAAAUAUUACAACAACUUUCUUGGAGAAAAUAACCAAAAAUCUACUACCUCCAUAGGAUGGUCUCCGUUUUCUCACUUACAUUCCUCCAAAUAGGAGGCAGGAUUUGAAUCUCCGAAUUCAUUUGGCCAUGUAACUUUCUGCUGAGACUGCCUGAAGAGGAGACAAUUAUACCCAAAAGGCAGUCUAAUUAAUAAAUUAAAGUAAAAUUACUCAUUGAAAUUCUUAUUAUCAAAUACAGCAUUAGUCCAUUUGUCAGGUAAUUCGUAGUAAUGUUUAGUAGUUGAUAGUAAUUUGUAGUAAUUACAUGUCAAGCCAUUUCUUCACUUCAUAUUGGUUUCACUUAGUAAACUCAAUACUAAGAAAAGGAAUUAGUGGUUGAUGGCCAUGUCUGCUUUUUAAUGCAAAGUAAGUAAUAUAAUAUAAUAUAAUAAGAAGCAAAGUAAAUACAGAGUUGAGAAGGAAGUAGCUAAUGUACAGGGCCAGAUUGCGUAAGUGGUUCUGUACUGAAGUAAAAAUCUCAUACUAUUUUAUUAGCAAACAUUGAAUUUGGGUAAAAGAAAAAAGAACACAAACAUGGAAUACAUUGGGCGUUUAAUAGUUAUGAAUUUCCAGCUAAUCUAUUGGCUUUUAAUUCCCAAAUCUCCAUUUUUUCUAGAGGGAUUAAAUAAACCUAUUAAGGUUCUAGGAAAGACUUUUGAGACCAUUAUUUGAGUCCAUAAUUGUCACUGUGAUAAUUUAUGGAUCAGUAGAUCAGAACAGAAUCUCACUUGCUAGAAUGGAAUUUCCUUUGCAAUGUGCUUUCAUUUUAGAAGCCAUAGAAAGACUUUCAUUUUAGAAGCCGUUGAAAGACUUUCAUUUUAGAAAACAUAGAAAAAAGACUUUCAUAGCCAGGAUUAUAUUUGUUAUACUGAGCAUUAUGCAGUUAUUGAAUUGCUUGAUUCCAAACUCCCAUGGGCAUAAAAUAUCAUCAAUCAACUUCAUAUAAAUGUAUAAAUCUUCAGAAAUAAGUUUAAGUUGAGCAUGUGCAAGCACAAAUGUCACAAGAUACAAAUUUUCAGUCAGGUGUUUAAUUUUCAUUUUAAUGUACUGACCACUACCCUCGUCUCUCUUUCUACCUUCUUGGUCCCUUCUCCAUUGUUUCCUUAUUACCAGUUCAUCCCACAACUGCAGCAUCUUGUAGGGGUAUUGUUUAUUGUUGUUUUAUGACCUACUUCUCAGGGUUGCAUUGUUUUCAUUUUGCAAAAGCCCUUUAAAAUUCCACAGCUCUAAAAAUUUAAGUACUACAAAGUUCAAAAAUCAAUAUCUUAUCUUGAGUGAUACACAAGUUUCCAGAAGAGAAAUUUUGGCAUUCAUUCCAUCUUAGUAAAUAAAAAGGAAUUCACAUAUUAGUAAUUUAAAAUCCUAAAUAAUGUAAAGCAUGUAGAGAUGAAGCAAUCAUUAUUCAAUUGCAAGUGAGAGAACUGCCCUGAAUCAGUGGUUAUAGAUGGAUAUAUAACUUUUUCUUUUAGGCCCUUUUCAUAAUAUGGUUAUUUGUGGUCUGAGUAAAUCAUUGAAAUCAUAAUAUAACUCUUUUCAGUCUCUAAAUACGUGAAAAAAAAUAACAUUUUGAAGCCUUCAGUAAAGUAGGCUGACUGAAAGGCAGCAAAGGGAGAGAGGCUUCUUCCUACAAUUCUCUUCUGCAAGAACAAUAUUGUGUAUUCCGAAACAAUUACUCUUUUCACAGUAAAUAAUUUGGAAUAAUUGUUCAUAAUUGAUAACAAUUUCUAGAAGUAAUAGAAGACUGUGGUAAAAGAGAUUGGACUCUGUAGACAGACAACCUUAUAUUUAGAUCCCUGGUCUUAAGUCUACUAACUUGUGUGGCGCGGGAAAAUUACUUUCAUCUCUUUCAGAGACGUUUAUUUGUUUUCUUUCCUCCCUCCCUCCCUCCCUUCUUUCCCUCCUUCCUUCCUUCUAAAAAAUGAAGACAAAAUUCAUCAAUUUGAUGUUGCCUUAAGGAAAAAAUGUGAUUAAGUUUUCAAAAGCGCAGUGUUCAGCCAAUGUUAUAAACUUUUCCAUUAGUAUUCAGAUAGGUAUCAAUUAAGGAAAAACUCACCAGUAAUAAUGGUAAUAUUUAUUGAAGGCUUGCUAUAUACUAGGCACAUUUUAAGACCUAUUUUGGAUGUUUCCCUCUUCCUAAAAUAUUUAAUAAUAUCCCCAGUUACUAUCUUUUCUUUUUAAUUUGACCAUCAUAAGUACUUUUUUAUUGUGAAACUAUUAGCAUUUAUAUUUGUCUUUCUUACUUUCCUUACAAGACUAUAACUUCUUGAAAACAAAUAGUCUGUUUGGACAUCUUUUAGACAGGACAUCUUUCCUAUCUAAUCACACAUUUUUAGCCUAGAAUUGCACUUAGUCAACAAUAAAUUGAAUCAAGUUAACUUUAAAGAAAUUAAUUAACAACCCUAUGCUGAGGUGUACCUUUUUCACACAUACAAACACACAUGUGAGUAUCUCUUAUGGUGCUGAAAUUUAAGACUCAGAAAGUAAUUGCUGAAGGAAAUGUUUUUGAUUAAUCUUGGUGAAGAAUAAUAUCCUAACUUACAUUCUGCAAAUUACUUCUUCAACAAGUACAAUACAAACUCUUUAAAUGGUCUUACAAUAUGUCAACCGUGAAUAUGAUUAUGUUAUUUUUGUUUUUAAAGCAUGUGAAUCUUCUUUUGAUAAACACAAUGUCUACACUUCAGGUGCUUGGCAAAAUAAGAAUCAUAGGUAGAACAAUUUUGCCAUUGUUACAAAACUUUUGAAGUUACAAUCUAGAAUAUUGUUCAGUGCAUUUUAUAAUGAAUCUCACAAUAAUGUCUUCUCAGAGUUCAAAGACAGGAAAGAGUUACUUUACUAGGAAAAAGAAAAACCCAGGAUUCCUUUUAUUAGCUAACAAAAACCAUGUAAACCUUUGUAAUUCUGUAUUUUGUUAAGAGUCAGAGCUAAAUUUCAUGCUCAAGUAAUUUACUGCGUUUUCCUCACUCUAUCGCAUUGCCCCUUGUUAAACCAGUGUUUUAAUGUUUUUGUAAUAUCUUUGCCUUCUAGUAGAGUAUGAAUCCUUUUAUGAAAGUAAAGAUAAACAAAUGAAUAUAAUGCUUACUCCUUUUUAUAUCCCCACCUUCACAGUUAGACUGAAUGCUUUAUAAUUACUCUGGUAGACUCUCUGAUGUCCUGCCAGCAACGCCUUCAAUGAAAACUUAUUGCCCAUCCCAUAAGAGUGCUUGGUAAACAGAUUUCUGCAUUUGCCUCUUCCAGAAUUGCCUCACCUGCAGACUGCCACAGCCACAUUAUUUAAGUUUACACUUCUUCCUAGGGUGGCCCACAAGUAAUGGCAUCAAUCAUCAGUGAAAAUCGGGUCAUCUCAGUGUAACUUAGACAAUUCCGAGAGAACUGUCUAGCUUUAGAGCAUCCCAUGGCAUUGCCCUAGUUUUUCACUGGGAUUGUAUCACAGAUCAACUUCUCCCUCUGUCCAAUCCUAUCUACUUACCCUAUCUUUUACAAGUCAGGAUCCUGUUUGGCAAAGGACCAAAUAAGCUAGAGACAUCAGGGAUGACGUCCAUGCAUAUUUAGAGUCUCCAGAUUCUCCUUGAUCUUGCAAGUUUGCAGAAGUGGAUGAAACAUCUCUAUGAAAAGGUAGUAUUCCCCUCUUGCUUGAAGAUGAUUCAGACAUUACUCAAGACAACACAUGCUCCUACUACCCUUUUUGGCAAGAAAAUCUAUAAUUAGAGUUAUGACAUAACAUAAACCAUCUAGAGAUAUGAUGGGAUGGUGCAUUGCAAGUACCAUGGCAUAAAAACCUGGGAGACUUUAUGACAUUAGUGGUAUGAGUGAUGAGAAAAGAUGCCAUUUCGAGACUAUGGCAAGUAUCAAUGAGAAAAUCACAACACAGAUUGCUGGUAGUCUGGAGCAAGAGCAUUCCAUCAGAAUCAUGCCUUUUAAACAACAACUGUUGACAUACUACUGGGCCUGCCAUAGAUGAAGUAGCUGACCAUGGAGCACCAAGUGAUAACUGAGCCACACCUGUCUGUCAUGAGCUGGGUUCUGUCAAACUCACUAAGCUCUAAGAUCAGAAGAUUCUUGCAACAAUUUAUUGAGAGUUCUAAGUGUUACAUCUAGAACUAAGCUCAAGCAGAUCAGAGGGUCCAUGCAAGCUGUAUAAGCAAAUUACCAAACCACCCAUGUCAUCCACCGCACCUCUCCCCCAGCUCACACCCAUUACCAAAAAGAGGAUCCUUACACUCAGUAAAUAGUGGAAGACAAAGCACAUGAUUCGUUCAUAAAAGGGUCAGUUAAGCAUAUGGGUAAAAUGUGAAAUUAGAUAGCAGCUGCAUUAUAGCCCCACUCAAUGAGGGCAUUGAAAGAAUAGUGAGAGAAAAUCCUUGCAAUGUACAGAUUCUUGGUUUGUGGUGGGGGUAGGGGGCAGAAUGUAGUCAUAUAUUUUGUGUAAAAAAAUAAAAUUAACUCAAGUUCAGAGCAUAUGUGAAUUCAAGGACAGUAGCAAAUGGCUUGGCUAAGUGAUUAGGAGCCUGAAGAAAGAUAGGAGAAGAUACUGCAUAAGAACUUCUGUAGUAGAUGCAUUUAGAAUGGGUACCUGGAAGAGAGCAUGAAGUAUGACGAAGUUUUUUUGUUGCACACUAAUACUCACUAGAGAGCACCCACCACGGAAGAAGCACUGAACAAUGAAGAAGACAAAAACUCGCCCAGUUGAUAUUAGUCUCUGUCAUCAGCUACUCCAGCUGGCAUUAUGAUUACAUGAAAUGGCCAAGGAAGUAAGGAUGGAAGCUUUACAUGGGUCCAAUCUCUUGGAAUCUAAGUAACUUAAUUGAUCUUGCUAUUUGUGUUAGCUGAUUUUGCUACUGCAAACACAAAUAUCCAACUGUCAUCAAUAAAGGCCAAUGCUGAGUUGCCAUUAGAGCAGCCUGCUUCAAGAAGACCAUCUUUGUCUUUUCUUAUUGUCUUUUUUGCUUGCAGGACAUCAAACAGUAUGACUGUCUGAAGACUUAGGGAAUCCUAGGUACUGGAUUCCACAUGAAAAAAUGACCAACCAGGAAACCUAGUUUAUAGCAAAGGAGGUGCUAAGGCAAACCUCUGACCAUGAGAUGAACUAAUCAUUUAACAUACAACACCACUCAUUAACUGGAAGACUAGAAAUCCCGCUUGGAGGCAAUACUUUAUGAGGAUGCAACACAAUCCAUGCUGUGGUAUGCUCAUUGAAUCAGUAACAUGUAUAACUGUGCCUCCCCUUCACAGUAGGAAGAAUACAUGGGUCUAGGAACCAAGAACAAAAAGAACAAGUAGGCUCACUUAAAUCACUUCAAGUAACCCACUUGGGAAUUUAUUUUUCCUAUUCCUUCUAUUCUAGGCUUUGUAAAUUUAAAGGUCUUGGUUCCCAAAGGCAGGACACUUCUGCCAGAGGACACAGCAAAGGUCACAUUGAAUUGUAAGCUGUGACUGCCAACUGGGAACUUUAGAUCAGCAGGCAAGAAUAGCAGGGAUCAUCUUGGCAGGGGCAAUAGACCAUGAUGCUUAGGAAGAGGUGGGGUUGCUGCUACACAGUGAAGAUUGAAAGAAUGUAUGUGACACUCAGGUGGUCUACUUGGGUACCUCUGGUAUUCCUUUGCCUAGUUGUGAAAAUAGACAAGAGCAACAACUUUAGCCUGAGAAAGGUGUGGUGGCUAGGGACUUAGAGCCCUUAGACUCCAGUAGAAAUGGUAGUAGAGAGUGAAUGGAAUAUAGACUGGAUAGUGAAAGAAAUCAUGAGCAUCACUUGUCCCCCUACACCCAGGGCAGCUGUGGUGAUAGUACCUAUUGCUUCCCACAAACUUGCUUAUAAAUUUUCUCCAUGAAUAGAUGUCUAAAACAGUCUCUGGGAAGCUUCCAGAAAUUUUAUGAAGAAAAGGAUCUAAGCAGGCAAGAGAUGGACUGUGGGGGAUCACCACAUUUGACCACAUGUUGGUCAAAUAUCCCUUCAAUGAAGAAAUUGUUCCCCCAGAAUCUGGGAGUGCUGACAAUAGUCGGUCUUUAGCUGUCAGCCCUUUAAGGGACUAUCUCAGCUGCAAAGAGUCUCCUUGCCCAAGGAAAUGCCUCUUCCCUGGGUAGACUGCAUCCAAAAUUAAUAAAUGAGAAAUUAUAAAUAUCAGAUCAUUAGUCCAAUUUAGAACAAUUCUGAGGGUUAUCCUAGCUCCAGAACUUCUCAUGGUAACAACUAUGGCUGUCAAUGAGUCUACAUCACAACUUGACGUUUCUCUACGGAUGACUACUUCUUUCUUCCUUUCACAGGUAUUGAUUACAAGAGUACUAUUUAAUAAACAUCCUAUAUGCUAAACUCUGUUUUAGAGUUUGGUUCCUGGGGUACUCAAAUUGUGCACCUGCCAAGCAAAGCAAUGAUUUGUUAUAAAGCCUUUCCAUAUCUGCAGUAAAGAAGGUAGUUUUACAUAACAAUGAUGACUAUGGGCACUGGAAUUAGCAAGUCCUGGAUUUGAACCUUGGCUUUGCCACUUACUAGCUGUGUGGUCCCAGGAAACCAAAGUUCAGAGACAUAAACAAAAGAGAAAAAACCCACAAAACUUCCUCAAGUCAUAGGUCCAGUAAUAAGGUAAGCUGGGAAUUUAACUCACAUUUUCUGACACUAAAACUAUUGUUCAUUCUCCUGCACUAAGCUUCUACCAUAAUUUAUACACAAUGGACUUUACCUAAGGUUAAUAUAAUUUUGCAAUCACUAGACAAUUGGGAUCAUCUUCCUCUAUCUCUGAAGGUUGGUUCUAUUCGGAUUAUGUUGUGGUUGAGAGGUUUUAUUACAGCUACCAUGUAUUUACCCUAGGCUGAAAUAAUGCAAGCAAUUUUAAUGGAGUGCCAAUUAUAUGCAAAUUUCUGUCCCAGUACUGGUGGAGAAGAAAACAAACAUUUAUGAAUAAAAUCAUCAUCAAAGGAUCUCUUUGUUCAGAUUUUUAGAGAAUAAUAUGAUAUUGCAGAUGCAAUCUUACCUUCAGAUAUUACAUUGAAAUAUUGCCAGUGGCAUGGCAUCUAUCCAAUAACUGGCUUAACUUCCCCUAAAUACAAGCUAUGCUUUAGUUAAACAAAUAUUUAUUGUGUGCCAACCAUGGACUCGGUAUUCGGGGCACAAUAACGAACAAGGCAUGCAGUGAAGGUAUUGUCCUCAUCAAGUUUACAAUGUAGAGGAAGAUGGGAUACAAGAAGAGCGUAUACAAGAGAACAGAAAAGUGAGCAAAAGAAUGAUAAGAGAUGUAAGGAAAAUUUUAAAGAAUGAAGGGAUAGAGAUUGAAUUGGGAGGUUAUUUUGAAUUAUAUGGUAAUUCAAUUAGAUGAAUUUUUUUUUCUAAUUGAAUUAGAUGGAGAAUCUUUUUCUAAUGAGGUAACACUUGGACUGAGACCUGAUGAAUACUGAAGGAGAGUACUAGAAAAUCCCAGGCAGAGUGUUAUUAGUAGCCAGAGGAAUUGGGCAAUUAGAGAAAGAAAUA